AGUCUCAGAGAGUUUGAUCAUGGCUCAGGAUGAACGCUGGCGGCGUGCUUAACACAUGCAAGUCGAACGAUGAAAGCGGGAGCUUGCUCCUGCUGGAUUAGUGGCGAACGGGUGAGUAACACGUGAGUAACCUGCCCUUGACUCUGGGAUAAGCGUUGGAAACGACGUCUAAUACCGGAUACGACCUUCGGAGGCAUCUCCUGGGGGCGGAAAGAAUUUCGGUCAAGGAUGGACUCGCGGCCUAUCAGCUAGUUGGUGAGGUAAUGGCUCACCAAGGCGACGACGGGUAGCCGGCCUGAGAGGGUGACCGGCCACACUGGGACUGAGACACGGCCCAGACUCCUACGGGAGGCAGCAGUGGGGAAUAUUGCACAAUGGGCGCAAGCCUGAUGCAGCAACGCCGCGUGAGGGACGACGGCCUUCGGGUUGUAAACCUCUUUUAGUAGGGAAGAAGCGAAAGUGACGGUACCUGCAGAAAAAGCACCGGCUAACUACGUG
rnacentral:rRNA from 1 species